rnacentral:rRNA from 1 species
UACGUAGGGAGCAAGCGUUGUCCGGAAUCAUUGGGCGUAAAGCGCGCGUAGGUGGCCUCAUAAGUCCGCUGUGAAAGUCAAAGGCUCAACCUUUGAAAGCCGGUGGAUACUGUGAGGCUAGAGUACGGAAGAGGCGAGUGGAAUUCCUGGUGUAGCGGUGGAAUGCGUAGAUAUCAGGAGGAACACCAAUAGCGAAGGCAGCUCGCUGGGACGUUACUGACACUGAGGCGCGAAAGCGUGGGGAGCGAACAGG